UACGUAGUGUGCAAGCGUUAAUCGGAAUUACUGGGCGUAAAGCGUGCGCAGGCGGUGAUGUAAGACAGAUGUGAAAUCCCCGGGCUCAACCUGGGAACUGCAUUUGUGACUGCAUCGCUGGAGUACGGCAGAGGGGGAUGGAAUUCCGCGUGUAGCAGUGAAAUGCGUAGAUAUGCGGAGGAACACCGAUGGCGAAGGCAAUCCCCUGGGCCUGCACUGACGCUCAUGCACGAAAGCGUGGGGAGCAAACAGG
rnacentral:rRNA from 1 species